GCCGCCGCGGUAAUACGGAGGGUGCAAGCGUUAAUCGGAAUUACUGGGCGUAAAGCGCACGCAGGCGGUUUGUUAAGUCAGAUGUGAAAUCCCCGGGCUCAACCUGGGAACUGCAUCUGAUACUGGCAAGCUUGAGUCUCGUAGAGGGGGGUAGAAUUCCAGGUGUAGCGGUGAAAUGCGUAGAGAUCUGGAGGAAUACCGGUGGCGAAGGCGGCCCCCUGGACGAAGACUGACGCUCAGGUGCGAAAGCGUGGGGAGCAAACAGGAUUAGAUACCCC
rnacentral:rRNA from 1 species